rnacentral:rRNA from 1 species
AUUGAACGCUGGCGGCAGGCUUAACACAUGCAAGUCGAGCGGAGCGAGGGUGCUUGCACCUUAGCUUAGCGGCGGACGGGUGAGUAAUGCUUAGGAAUCUGCCGAUUAGUGGGGGACAACAUUCCGAAAGGAAUGCUAAUACCGCAUACGCCCUACGGGGGAAAGCAGGGGACCUUCGGACCGUGCGCUAAUAGAUGAGUCUAAGUCGGAUGAGCUAGUUGGUGGGGUAAAGGCCUACCAAGGCGACGAUCUGUAGCGGGUCUGAGAGGAUGAUCCGCCACACUGGGACUGAGACACGGCCCAGACUCCUACGGGAGGCAGCAGUGGGGAAUAUUGGACAAUGGGCGGAAGCCUGAUCCAGCCAUGCCGCGUGUGUGAAGAAGGCCUUUUGGUUGUAAAGCACUUUAAGCGAGGAGGAGGCUACUUAGAUUAAUACUCUAGGAUAGUGGACGUUACUCGCAGAAUAAGCACCGGCUAACUCUGUGCCAGCAGCCGCCGUAACAC